UACGUAUGGUGCAAGCGUUAUCCGGAUUUACUGGGUGUAAAGGGAGCGUAGGCGGCGCGUUAAGUCUGAUGUGAAAACCCGAGGCUCAACCACGGGAGUGCAUUGGAAACUGGCGUGCUGGAGUGCCGGAGAGGAGAAUGGAAUUCCUAGUGUAGCGGUGAAAUGCGUAGAGAUUAGGAAGAACACCAGUGGCGAAGGCGAUUCUCUGGACUGUGACUGACGCUGAGGCUCGAAAGCGUGGGGAGCAAACAGG
rnacentral:rRNA from 1 species